GCCCCGGACUAUACUAGGUAUCUAACGCAAAAUUUCCUUCGAACUUCACUCUUUUACACAACCUGAAAUCUGAAACCCAAAUUCCAUCCUCAUUUCUUCAAAAUCCGUAAAAUCUACUGAUUUCCUCUUCCAAAAUCAACCCAAAAUAUUCCGGAGGAUCAGAUUACUGAUGCAUUUUGAUGUUAUUGAAGCCGUGAUUAAGCCGAUGAUCCAUAAGAUGAAGCAGCUUUAAGAGAGGAUGAGAACCCUACAAAGACAUACUUACAAACUGGCAAAUGGAGGUCCAUCAUAUUCUGCAAACGCUGGAGCAGGUGAUGUUGACAUGGCUUAUAGGGUUGUGGCUUCCCAUAUAAGGUUGCUGAUCCAAGCUUCAAAAGUAAUUUCCAUUAAAAUCCAUCAAGGUCCAUCGCUUUCUUGUCUAGUACCUACUAGCUCAUUGUGGGAAAGAUGGCUAUUCCAGGAAAUGCAACGUACGAUGUGGAUUUUUCUUCUCCACUUACCACCAAUAUAAUGGUAAUGUCAAAUUAACACUGCGAGUGAAUUGAACUCCAGUUCCACAUCACCCAAAAAACUCACUCUAACUUCACUCUUUUACGCAACCCGAAAACCCAAUUUCCUUCCCCAUUUCUUCAAUCCCUACAAUCUACUAUUUCCUCUUCCAAAAUUAACCAGGAAUCUCCCAUCGUUAUAGUAUUUGUCCAGAGAAUCAGAUUACUGAUACUUAUUGGCUCCGAUAAAGCCGUGAUUGGCCGCCGAAGAGCUGCUGUAGGAGGAUUAGAACCUUAGAUAUGCAUACUUAUAACUGGAAACUGGAGCAGAUGAUGCUGACAUGGCUUAUAGGGUUGUGGCUUACCAUAUAAGGUUGCUGAUCGAAGAUUCAAAAUUAAUUUGAAGUAAAGUCAUCUAGGUCCAUUUGUGCUCAAGCACAAGCUCCUUCUCGUCAAGUACCUACUAGCACAUAGGCGGAAAGAUGGUUAUUCCAGGUCUGUGAGAUUCCAAGAAACUGAUGAAGUAAAGGAGAAGUUUUCAGAUCCAAAGUCCAUUUCGUCAAUCCAAUUGGGUAUCAGAACUUAGCUGAAUGGAGGAGGCUCUGGUCUCCCUGACAAUUUGUAUGUAUGUGUUUGCUAGGAUUACAUAACUGGGUGCUAGGGAAUCUGACUCUGUUCGUGAAUCUGUUGGAUUGUUGCUGAGAAAAUUUAUUGAGGUUGUCACAACUGGAAAAGUGCAAGAGAUCGUGAUAGAUAGAGCAAGGGACUAGGGAGGCAACUAAUUCUGCAGUUCUGAUGAAUCUGGAAUCAAGAGAGAUAUAGGGUGUCAAAUAUUGACGGAGGGAGGGAGGGAGGGA